ensembl:piRNA 21ur-10634 ncRNA
UUAAUUAUCACUCCAAUUACU